rnacentral:rRNA from 1 species
UUCCAGCUCCAAUAGCGUAUAUUAAUGUUGUUGCAGUUAAAAAGCUCGUAGUUGGAUUUCUGGUCGGGACGUCUGGCCGGCUCCGCAAGGGGUUGUUGCAUUGACUGUACUCGUCCAUCCUCAGGUUGACUAGCUCUGGUAUUUAUUUAUUGGUGUUAGAACGCCUGUCGUUUACUGUGAACAAAUUAGAGUGUUCAAAGCAAGGUGUACUUGAAUACAUUAGCAUGGAAUAAUAAGAUAGGACUUUGGUGGUUCUUUUUGAUAUUUUGUUGGUUUGCACGCCAAAGUAAUGAUUAAUAGGAGCAGUUGGGGGUAUUCGUAUUCAAUUGUCAGAGGUGAAAUUCUUGGAUUUAUAGAAGACGAACUACUGCGAAAGCAUUUACCAAGGAUGUUUUCAUUG